CGGACGUUUCCUGAUCAUCUGUACAUAUCCACUUCAUGGAAGAGUAAAAUGAAACUAGAAAUAAGUGUCUAUUCCUCAAAUGUACAUAAGAAUUAUCUAUCCCACCAGAAGCUCUCCUAUUUUCUUCCUUCCACAGGACCCACAUGAUCUCUAGGGGGAAUCAUCUUAGGUUCACCGAUUUCUCUUCCUAUUUCUAAGUUUUCAGUUGGAAAAUGCCUCCGUCACUGAUCACAAUAGAUGUGUGAGAGACGCCAAGGUAAUUAAUAUUACCUAUUUCUAUCCAUUUCAGAUUAAACAUGUGCUUAUACAAUGUGAAUUCAGUUUUUUAUGUAACUAACCAAAUGUCUGAUAAGACAUGUGUAUGUACUAAUUAAUCCAAAGGCCUUUGCCGUUAUUGCCAUUUCUGUACAAUAACGGGUGACUGAGUGGUCG
rnacentral:misc_RNA from 1 species